UAGGACGAACGCUGGCGGCGUGCCUAAUACAUGCAAGUCGAACGAACUGUGGAAAGCUUGCUUUCAGAGUUAGUGGCGAACGGGUGAGUAACACGUAAGUAACCUAGCUAUUAGACGAGGAUAACUACUGGAAACGGUAGCUAAGACUGGAUAUGAUAGAAAUAUUUAAAGGAUGCUAAGGCAUCGCUAAUAGAGGGGCUUGCGGCGCAUUAGCUAGUUGGUAGGGUAAAAGCCAACCAAGGCGAUGAUGCGUAGCCGACCUGAGAGGGUGACCGGCCACACUGGGACUGAGACACGGCCCAGACUCCUACGGGAGGCAGCAGUAGGGGAUCUUCGGCAAUGGACGGAAGUCUGACCGAGCAACGCCGCGUGAGUGAAGAAAGUUUUCGGAUUGUAAAGCUCUGUUAUUAGGGAAGAAAGGCUCUAGGAGGAAAUGCUUAGGGAUUGACGGUACCUAAUGAGGAAGCCACGGCUAACUACGUGCCAGCCGCUGC
rnacentral:rRNA from 1 species